GGGUCGGUAGCUCAGUUGGUAGAGCAAGUGCCUCUUAAGCACAAGGUCCUGGGUUCGAAUCCCAGCCGACCCA
rnacentral:tRNA from 1 species